GGUGGCGUGGUGUAACGGUAGCACGUUAGAUUGUGGAAAUUUUCUAUUAUACAUACUCUCUUGAGAUUUGGGUUCGAUUCCCAGCGCCGCCA
rfam:Oidiodendron maius Zn unplaced genomic scaffold scaffold_15, whole genome shotgun sequence.